rnacentral:rRNA from 1 species
UACGAAGGGGGCUAGCGUUGCUCGGAAUCACUGGGCGUAAAGGGUGCGUAGGCGGGGCUUUAAGUCAGGGGUGAAAUCCUGGAGCUCAACUCCAGAACUGCCUUUGAUACUGAGGAUCUCGAGUUCGGGAGAGGUGAGUGGAACUGCGAGUGUAGAGGUGAAAUUCGUAGAUAUUCGCAAGAACACCAGUGGCGAAGGCGGCUCACUGGCCCGGUACUGACGCUGAGGUGCGAAAGCGUGGGGAGCAAACAGG